rnacentral:rRNA from 1 species
UACGUAGGGGGCGAGCGUUGUCCGGAUUUAUUGGGCGUAAAGAGCUCGUAGGCGGCUUAGCAAGUCGGGUGUGAAACCUCCAGGCUUAACCUGGAGACGCCACUCGAUACUGCUAUGGCUAGAGUCCGGUAGGGGACCACGGAAUUCCUGGUGUAGCGGUGAAAUGCGCAGAUAUCAGGAGGAACACCGGUGGCGAAGGCGGUGGUCUGGGCCGGCACUGACGCUGAGGAGCGAAAGCGUGGGUAGCAAACAGG